AAUUUUGGACAAUGGGGGAAACCCUGAUCCAGCCAUCCCGCGUGUAUGAUGAAGGCCUUCUGGUUGUCCCGUACUUUUGGCAGAGAAGAAAAGGUACCUCCUAAUACGAGGUACUGCUGACGGUAUCUUUAGAAAAAGCACCGGCUAACUACGCUACAGUAGCCGCGGUAAUACGUAGGGUGCAAGCGUUAAUCGGAAUUACUUGGCGUAAAGCGUGUGUAGGCGGUUCGGAAAGAAAGAUGUGAAAUCCCAGGGCUCAACCUUGGAACUGCAUUUUUAACUGCCGAGCUAGAGUAUGUCAGAGGGGGGUAGAAUUCCACGUGUAGCAGUGAAAUGCGUAGAUAUGUGGAGGAAUACCGAUGGCGAAGGCAGCCCCCUGGGAUAAUACUGACGCUCAGACACGAAAGCGUGGGGAGCAAACA
rnacentral:rRNA from 1 species